UUUUUUUGGCUACGUUUGUUGGGUUUUAGGUGUUAUGGAAACAGAGGAGCCCGAUAGAGAGAAACCCUUACCGUCCUCAUCUGCUUCCAACGAAUUUUAGGUUCAUCCUACUGUUCGACGGCGACGUUGUUCAUAUACCUUAUCGCAGCCGAGGUAUCUAUCGAUUUUCUUGAAGUUCAUCUCAACGAGUAUCAAAACAGGCACCGUAACGGAACUUCUGCGUUCAAUUAUUUUCAUUAACACUCUAAUUAACUCUAUUUUCCCACACAUCGCACGAUCUGUCGUUCAAUACAUCCUCCUCUUCUUCCGUUAUGAGAAUCUGCUGCAGCUAUAUAUAUGUUGCGAAGAUAAAGAAGUUUCAAAAAAAAGGUGGCAAAGGAACUUUGAGAUGGGUUCGUUUGGACGACGAUGAUCAGGAUGAUCGUAAUGAGCUCGCCCUUUUCUUCCUUGGACCAUCUGAUCUGAAAGGAAACAACUUUCCACAAGUGGUGUAAAAGUAAUUCAGCUUCAAGGACAUAGAAGGAUGGCAAAUGCUACUGAUGAUAUCGGUGCUUCAAACAUUGCAGUUUCUGAUGAUGGAUACUCCAGAAAGCUUAUGGCUAGCCAUUGUUCUACCUACACGAAAAGUACCUAGCUUCUCUGGCUUCUUGAACUAUAUGGAGUCUGAUUCCAAAAACUCUGUUAGAAAGUGAAAGGCCUUAGAUCGUCAUGGAGACUUUGAUGAUGCGUUGUUACCUAUCCAAACUAACCAUUCAAGAUCGCCCAACAGGGAUAAGAGCUGUAUAAAGUGCGAAGAGGAUUGUUAAAAAAAGAAGCUUCACUGUUGGUAUUGAGCUAUACUGAGGCAGCUAAAAUGGUAUCAAUGUCAAAUGCGUGGCAAAUCCAUUGAAGCUGCAAUUUGGAUUCUACUUUUACUUUUUCUUAUAGAUAAUAUUCUAUACAUUCAGAUACGCAUUAUAGAAAUCAGUGCUUAAGUAUUAAGAUGGCAUGUUUGGCACUGUGGUAGUGAGAGCACGGUAUGUAGAAAAAGACAGUUACAAAAGACCAUGUUAGAGUUCCUUGAUAUUAUGUGUAACGAGUUUUCCAACAGGUUGAUUUGGCACAAUCUACAUUUUUAAAUGUACGUACUAAUUCCUUUUCUUUUUUUGAACCAAUAUGUACUAAUUCCUAUGUUAUGAUAUUAUGAAACAUAGAAAACACA